CUAACACAUGCAGUCGAACGGCAGCCAGAGAGCUUGCUCUCUGGGUGGCGAGUGGCGGACGGGUAGAGGAAUACAUCGGAAUCUACUCUGUCGUGGGGGAUAACGUAGGAAACUACGCUAUACCGCAUACGACCUACGUGGUAGAAAGCAGGGGAUACUUCGGACCUUGCUGCGAUUAGAAUAGAGCCUGAUGUCGGAUAUAGCUAGUAUAGGCGGGGUAAAGGCCCACCAAANGCGACGAUCCAGUAAGCUAGGUCUUGAGAGGAUAGAUCAGCCACACUUGGAACUGAGACACGGUCCAAGACUCCUACGGGAGGCAGCAGUGGGGAAUAUUAGGACAAUGGGCGCAAGCCUNGAUCCAGCCAUACCGCGUGGGUGAAGAAGGC
rnacentral:rRNA from 1 species